GACGAACGCUGGCGGCGUGCUUAACACAUGCAAGUCGAACGGAAAGGCCCUGCUUUUGUGGGGUGCUCGAGUGGCGAACGGGUGAGUAACACGUGAGUAACCUGCCCUUGACUUUGGGAUAACUUCAGGAAACUGGGGCUAAUACCGGAUAGGAGCUCCUGCUGCAUGGUGGGGGUUGGAAAGUUUCGGCGGUUGGGGAUGGACUCGCGGCUUAUCAGCUUGUUGGUGGGGUAGUGGCUUACCAAGGCUUUGACGGGUAGCCGGCCUGAGAGGGUGACCGGCCAAAUUGGGCCUGAGAUACGGCCAAGACUCCAACGGGGGGAAGCGGUGGGAAAUAUUGCAAAAUGGGCGGAAGCCUGAUGCAGCAACGCCGCGUGCGGGAUGACGGCCUUCGGGUUGUAAACCGCUUUCGCCUGUGACGAAGCGUGAGUGACGGUAAUGGGUAAAGAAGCACCGGCUAACUACGUG
rnacentral:rRNA from 1 species